CCGACUUUAGCUCAGUUGGAAGAGCAUCAGACUGUAAUGGGUGAAUCUGCAAUUAUCUGAGGGUCGCUGGUUCGAUCCCAGCAAGUCGGA